CAGAGGGGGAUAACGUUUGGAAACGAACGCUAAUACCGCAUGAUAUUAUUGAGCUGCAUGGCUUGAUAAUCAAAGGAGCAAUCCGCUGAAAGAUGGGCUCGCGUCCGAUUAGGUAGUUGGCGGGGCAACGGCCCACCAAGCCGACGAUCGGUAGCCGGACUGAGAGGUUGAACGGCCACAUUGGGACUGAGACACGGCCCAGACUCCUACGGGAGGCAGCAGUGAGGGAUAUUGGUCAAUGGGGGAAACCCUGAACCAGCAACGCCGCGUGAGGGAAGACGGUUUUCGGAUUGUAAACCUCUGUCCUCUGUGAAGAUGAUGACGGUAGCAGAGGAGGAAGCUCCGGCUAACUACGUGCCAGCAGCCGCGGUAAUACGUAGGGAGCAAGCGUUGUCCGGAUUUACUGGGUGUAAAGGGUGCGUAGGCGGCUUUGCAAGUCAGAAGUGAAAUCCAUGGGCUUAACCCAUGAACUGCUUUUGAAACUGCAGAGCUUGAGUGGAGUAGAGGUAGGCGGAAUUCCCGGUGUAGCGGUGAAAUGCGUAGAGAUCGGGAGGAACACCAGUGGCGAAGGCGGCCUGCUGGGCUCUAACUGACGCUGAGGCACGAAAGCGUGGGUAGCAAACAGGAUCAGAUACCCUGGUAGUCCACGCUGUAAACGAUGAUUACUAGGUGUGGGUGGACUGACCCCAUCCGUGCCGGAGU
rnacentral:rRNA from 1 species